UACGGAGGGUGCAAACGUUGCUCGGAAUUAUUGGGCGUAAAGCGCACGUAGGCGGCCAACUAAGUCAGACGUGAAAUCCCUCGGCUUAACCGGGGAACUGCGUCUGAUACUGGAUGGCUUGAAUCCGGGAGAGGGAUGCGGAAUUCCAGGUGUAGCGGUGAAAUGCGUAGAUAUCUGGAGGAACACCGGUGGCGAAGGCGGCAUCCUGGACCGGCAUUGACGCUGAGGAGCGAAAGCCAGGGGAGCAAACGGG
rnacentral:rRNA from 1 species